AGAGCGACGUGUCGCUGGCGUCUCGGUGGGCGGGGCUUGUCUGUGAUGGGCGGGGCUAAACGCAAGAGCAGGAAUCUUCCUUCUUAGAAUGGUUAAGACUUUGCAACAAAGCCGAGUAGUAAUGACGCAGAUACACAAGAAGACGGAUCUCUGUGAGUUCGAGGCCAAUCUGAUUGAGUUCCAGGACAGGCUCCAAAGCAACACAAAAGAACUCUGUUUCGAAGAAAAAAAAAAAGACUGUGCUGCAGUUGUGCGGGUCUAUGUGAAAAUGGGAAGUUAAUUGCUGGACAAGUUUAAUUUCCUCCAGUGACCAGGUCAGGCUACGUGUACACUAGAAGGGCCAGGACCACGAAGGCUCGGAUGGAGAAAUAGAUUACACAAAAAUUAAUUUGCCUGAAGUUGCUUAUGUGAUGAAAAUCCAUAGCUGUUGACUUAGAAGUCGGUGUCUGUCAAAUUUGGAUGCAAUAAGAAGGCUGCAGAUUUAGACAUCAUGAGGAGCCAGAGGCAGGGCCUCGGGGGCACUCGCAAAUAUGUACACUCAGGAACACACACCGCAGAAAGAGUGGCUCAAGAAUGUUACAGGGUCGAGUUCUUCUACCGCCUUCUCUGCUGUUCUACAAAGUGGCUUCAACCUAAGACUGGCUUCACAUUGAAAAGAAGACCAGGAAGACCCACCAUAACUGUGAGCCACAGCAUUGCGUGGGCUGGGAUCCUGGACUGAAUAAGAAGGAGAGAAGGAUCUGGGUGCCAGCGUCCAUCACUCGGCUGCCUCAUGUUUCUGCAACUGUGGCUUCCCUGACGUGGGCUGGAAGAGUCCCUGAGACUGUGAGCCAAAGUUAAUGCUUUCUGCCGUUGUUUUGUCUUAUCUCAGCAACAGGACAAGGAACUAAUGAUGUGGGAUUUAUGAUGGUGGGAUAGGUUUUAUUACCAUUGGUUAAUAAAGAAGCUCUCUUGGCCUAUGGCAGGACAGAUUACUCCUGAAUACACCUGAAUCUUCAGCACAAAUCAGGAAGCUGUCUCUUAAAGAAGCCAUGCCUCUGCUUGCCACCAGCAAACAGAACCUAUCUGAAAAAAAUUGCAGCUAUCAAGAAGCUGAAAUUGACUCUCAUUUUUGUGGGUCUAGAAGUCCUUUUAAAAAAAAAAAGCUUUCUUAGA